rnacentral:rRNA from 1 species
GAUGAACGCUGGCGGCGUGCCUAAUACAUGCAAGUCGAGCGAACGGACGAGACGCUUGCGUCUCUGAUGUUAGCGGCGGACGGGUGAGUAACACGUGGAUAACCUACCUAUAAGACUGGUAUAACCUCGGGAAACCGGCUCUAAUACCGGAUGAUAUUUUGAACCGCAUGGUUCAAAAGUGAAAGACGGUCUUGCUGUCUCUUAUAGAUGGAUCCGCGCUGCAUUAGCUAGUUGGUAAGGUAACGGCUUACCAAGGCAACGAGGCAUAGCCGACCUGGGAGGGUGAUAGGCCACACUGGAACUGGGACAGGGUCCAGACUCCUACGGGAGGCAGCAGUAGGGAAUCUUCCGCAAUGGGCGAAAGCAUGACGGAGCAGCGCCGCGUGAGUGAUGAAGGUCUUCGGAUCGUAAAACUCUGUUAUUAGGGAAGAACAUAUGUGUAAGGAACUGUGCACAUCUUGACGGUACCUAGUAAGAAAGCCACGGCUAACUACGUG